UCUCCUGGAAAACGGGUGGUAAUGCCGGAUGCUCCAGUUGAUCGCAUGGUCUUCUGGGAAAGCUUUCGCGGUAUGGGAUGGGGUCGCGUCCUAUCAGCUUGACGGCGGGGUAACGGCCCACCGUGGCUUCGACGGGUAGCCGGCCUGAGAGGGCGACCGGCCACAUUGGGACUGAGAUACGGCCCAGACUCCUACGGGAGGCAGCAGUGGGGAAUAUUGCACAAUGGGCGCAAGCCUGAUGCAGCGACGCCGCGUGAGGGAUGGAGGCCUUCGGGUUGUAAACCUCUUUUAUCGGGGAGCAAGCGAGAGUGAGUUUACCCGUUGAAUAAGCACCGGCUAACUACGUGCCAGCAGCCGCGGUAAUACGUAGGGUGCAAGCGUUAUCCGGAAUUAUUGGGCGUAAAGGGCUCGUAGGCGGUUCGUCGCGUCCGGUGUGAAAGUCCAUCGCUUAACGGUGGAUCCGCGCCGGGUACGGGCGGGCUUGAGUGCGGUAGGGGAGACUGGAAUUCCCGGUGUAACGGUGGAAUGUGUAGAUAUCGGAAAAGAACACCAAA
rnacentral:rRNA from 1 species